rnacentral:rRNA from 1 species
UACGUAGGGGGCAAGCGUUGUCCGGAUUUAUUGGGCGUAAAGAGCGUGUAGGCGGCUUGGCAAGUCCGCUGUGAAAACUCGAGGCUCAACCUCGAGACGUCGGUGGAAACUGCCUCGCUAGAGUCCGGAAGAGGAGAGUGGAAUUCCUGGUGUAGCGGUGAAAUGCGCAGAUAUCAGGAAGAACACCCGUGGCUAAGGCGGCUCUCUGGGACGGUACUGACGCUGAGACGCGAAAGCGUGGGGAGCAAACAGG